rnacentral:tRNA from 1 species
AAUGAAGUGUCUGAUUAAAGAAUUAUUUUGAUAGAAUAAAGAAUGUAAUAUAUAUUACCUUCAUUA